rnacentral:lncRNA from 1 species
AACAGAAAGCGAGGUAGAUCGCAUGGCCGGAACCGAUAUAUUAUAGCAUAUACAGAUACAGAAUUUGGAAUAAAGUGAGAGAUUUAUAAAUAUUUGGUGUUCGUUUUCCGAUAUGAAAAUUUAAUAUGGAAAAAAGAGGCGUUGUAACUUGGAUGGAUUCAUGACCCGGUCUGCAUAUAGACAUUUCUAAUCGAAGCGUUAGUUUGCUAAAUAAUAUAAAUCAUGCAUUUGUAUGUGUCAUAUUUAAAGGGUGUGAUUCAAACAAUUGUGUCUUAAGUUACUUUUCAAUGCAAGGGUAUUAAAGGGUGUGAUAUGAAGAGACAACUAUUAAGUUAGCCUAAGGUACCCCAAGUUACUUUUUAUGAAUCCAUCUUUAGGUGUACUGGCAAAAUAGUCAACACUGAAGAUGUUCCCAAAUUCACCAGUUGAAGGCCAUCUCUUGGAUAUAAUUGGAAGUAGAAAGGAAAAGGUCGCACAGUUGCAGUUGGAGAAUACCAAGAGCAUGGGGAACAAAUGACAUGUGACAACUCGAAAUUUAGAACCUUUCUUGUAUCUUGAUGUAACUUGCUUGAAACAUUUCGUGACUAGUAACUUGUUAAUGUAAUGACAUAAGUGAACAUUUUAUGUGACUAUGU